GGAAUCACUUUUUUCUUUCUUCUCUUUUUCAUCAAACCGCAGUUUUUGCAAGUUCCCGCAAUUUCAUCGCAUAAAACUGCAAAAAUUCCCGCAUAUUCCGUCGCAUUUUUUAAGAAAACGUGCCGCAAAAUCAAGGAUUUUUGCCCGCAACAAUCACAAAAAAUUCCGCGUUUUUCUGGAGGGACUGUCGUGUCUGUGUUCCAGGUGGGCGUGGUUUCCAGUUACGGUUCAGGAAACACUGAUUGGUCCAACUAAGCACCUGACCUGUACAUAAGGACCACCCCAAACACUCAGCCUUUGCCUCGUGUCUCGUUGACUUUGUGUUAUCGCCAUCGUUCUUCGUUUUCCAUUGAUUAUAGUGUUCGUUUGUUUGAGAGUGUCGUGCCAGAGAGAUUGUGAGUGUAUUAGGAGGGUACUUGGGAUUCCAUAAUGUUUGGCCACAUCUACUUUGCAUAUUUCUUGUUAAGACAGAGGAAGUCAGUUUCAGACUCAGUCACUGUCAGGCGAGUGUCUCAGAAAGCUGCUCUAAUCUGACAGCAUGAUGAACCUGCUUUAUAUCCUUUUACUGGUCCUGUGGUCAUCUUUCAAUUCAGAUAGUACCUUCCUUAUCUACAAUAAGGACCACAACAAAUGUGUGUAUGCCGUGAGUGCUACUGAAGUGCAGACUGCGGCAUGCAAUGCAUCUUUCAAAGCUCAGCGUUUCCGAUGGAUUUCCUCUUCACGAAUCAUCAGCCUCGCUUUAAGUCUCUGUUUGGGGACCGAGAAGAUUGAAGACAGGGGCAAAAUUAUCCUUCUGCCCUGCAAUGAAUCUAACCCUGGACAAAUCUGGGAAUGUAAAGAUGAGACCUUGUUUGGAUUGAAGGGACAUCCACUGCACCUGAACUAUGGAUCAUCUUGGCCAAAUAUAAUGUUGCAUACAGGAAUAAGUGUUUGGAGUCGCUGGCUGAUUUAUGGGACCAAAGAAAAUUUGUGUUCUCAUGGAUAUCAAGAGAUGCCUAGUAUAGGUGGUAAUUCACAUGGGAAACCAUGCCAGUUCCCAUUUAAGUUUGGUGGCAAGUGGUACGCUGAUUGCACUGUGGAUGGCAUGAAGAGUGGUCGGCUGUGGUGCUCCACAGAAAAAGAUUAUGACACGGACAAAAAGUGGGGCUUCUGUCCCCCAAAAAAUGCCACAGUGCCCAACAUCACAGUGUUCAGGCAGAUGCAGGACAGAAAGCAUGUGAUGGUGAUGUGUUCAUUUGGCAGGAGGUUCAUUGAGAGCUCUUUCCAGCUGUCAGUGGAUGGUGAACACAACUACACACUGAAGAACCCACUGUGUUAUUCAAAUUAAAAAUGUGUGUGUUUGAUGUGAAUGUGAGCUUACCUGUUUCCUUCACCUGUGUGCAUGAGAUUAAUUCUGUGGUGAACCAGCAGAGUGAGACCAAAACCUACAGCCCAUCUGGUAAAACAUAUUGUAAAUACACUACAAAACUGAUUUUCAUCAAGAGAACACAAAAGAACUGUAUUAGAAUCCUAAUUCUCCAUUUUGCUAGUAUGUUGGAUUUUGACACCACAAAUAUGUCAAUGUAAUCUAAACACUUUAAAAUAUUGUUUUUUGUCCUGUAGAGUGUUUAAUGACGUUUCCUUGUAAUGGUUUAAUGGCAGCAAUACAGUGACAUACUAAUACAGGCUCAUAAUUUUUAUGUUAGAUUUGUUGUAGUAUGCAUAAUUUUGGUUAAUACAGUAGCAGCUUAAUUUACUUUACUGCAUGUCUAAUUUACUUUUUAUUGGUUAUUAGCAUUUCUAAAUUACAGACCUACAUUAUACAGUACAGUCAAUCUGGUAAAACAUCUCAUGUGCCUUGUGUGUCUCAAAACAUGCAUAUUUUUCUGUACAUAAACAUUGCCUGUGUUUGCUUUCAGAUUUUGCUGCAGAUCAUCAUGAGGAAGGAGUCUCUUUAUUCUACAUCUGCUUUUCCUCCUUCGUUGCUGUUGGUCUCGUCAUCAUGACUGCAGCAGUGAUCGUGACCACCAUCAGGAGCAAAGCUAAAGACUCCAUCAACCCCACCACAACUGUUACAGACAAUGACUACAUGGAUGCAUAAAUAAUCAGAAGACUUUCUGAAGCGAGAAGAGCAGGCCUGAAGAGGAGAAACAUUUACUGUAAAUAUAUAAAUGAAAAAUAUAUGAAUUAUUCAGUUAACUUUUUUUUUUUUUUAAACUGGAAUAUAUACUGCUGCAGUCAGGAUGACGAGAUAUAUAUUAUGUUAUAUGAAUAUUUUUAUUUACAAUUUUAGAAUACAAUUUUAUUUUCUUUUUAUUUUAUUUUUUUUUAUUUAUUUUAUAUUACUCAAUUUUAUUACAAUUUUAAAGAGAUUUUCUUUUAUAUUUUACAUGAUGAUGCAAUUUUAGAACUGUACAUUGCAGCAAUUUUAUUUUCUCAUUAGGAUAAAAUGCUUAUGCUACAUUAACAUUCCUUAUUUGUAUGUUUAGAUAAAAAUGUUUGCUAAAUUAAUGAAUAUAAAAAUAAAUGCUUCACUUAUUGCUGUAGCUUUAAUUUCUGUCUACAUCAGAGAGCAGUUGCUGUAAGUUAUAUUACACAAAUGUACUUAUUAUGAUGAUAACGAUUACUUGUAUGAAUUACUGGAGAAUAUGAACAGCAUGGUAGUUACAAUUAAUAAUAUACAUGAAUUAAUACAUACAAAAAACAAGGUGGCAAUGUUUUUUAGGAACUGGGAAAUUGAUGUAUCUAAUACAGACUAUUUGUCAUGGAUUUCUAAAUCAUUUUGUGGAUUUCUGAAGAGGUAAAAACAGAUGUGGGAAAAGGAAAUAAUCUGAAAAUGUAAAUUCAGUAAAAUAAGCUUCUUAUUUAUUAAUCUUUAUUUAUUACUGUAUUGUCCCUGAUGCUGUUUUGAGUAAUUAUGACUUCAUCCAGUAGAGGGCAGUAUUUAGUUCAUUUUACAGUUUUUUUUUCCAACUGCUUACACCAUGACUGUAAAAAAAAAAAAAAGUAACUUUUUUUUUUUUCACUUUACAGGAAGUAUGAGACACACCUGGCUUACACACGUUUUCAAAACUUUGUCUAUUUUUUUCAAAACUUUACACACAAAUCCAAGAAUUGCACACACAAAAUGCACAAUUCCUCACAUCUCUUGCAAAAUGAAACACUGCAUUCAAAAUAUCACAAACACAUCUCAAAAGCAAACAUUUGUCUUACUUUGUAAACACAUUGGCCAUAAUAUUCUAUUUUUGGAUAUAUCAUCUACACACAGUAAUUCAAAACCUAAAGCUCUUCUUUCAUGAGCUCCUACAUUUCUGUAUUGAAUGUAAUUGGCAGAGAGAUGUUGAAAAAUUCAUGGUAAGCAAGCAUGAAAGCAAUAUUGAAUUUUCUUUUUUUCCCCUGUGUCCUGGUAGGGGAACAAUUGUCCCCACAGGUAAAGUAAUACCAGAGCAUUUUGACUUUGUGGGGACAUUUUUAAAGUCCCCAUGAGGAAACAAGCUUAUACAUAAAUCAUACAGAAUGAUGUUUUCUGAACAUCUAAAAUAGCAGAAUGUUUUCUGUCAUGGUUAGGUCUAGUGGUAAGGUUAGUGUAGGGGGAUAGAAUAUACAGUUUGUACAGUAUAAAACCAUUAUGCCAAUAGAAUGUCCCCAUAAAACAUGAAAACCCAAUCACAUGGAAGCAGGGUCAGUGUCUCCACAUGCCUCCUCCAUUGCCUGGAGAAAUGUUAUGUUGACAUAGGGACAACGAUCAUGCACUUUCCAGCACCAUGUGGAGAAAAAAUUCUCAAUAGGGUUUAGAAAUGUUGAAUAUGGAAACAAGUAGACAACAAAAAAGUUGUUCAAAACCUAUAAUUUGACAUUCUAAAGCCAUGAUUGGUUGGUUUUAAGUAAAGGAAUAAGUGUUUGUGCAUGUGAGGAGUUAGUGUGAGGCACUGAUGAAUUAGUGUGGCAUUUUGAUAGGUUGUAUUUGAAAAAGGAAAUCAAAAUACUUUCUGUUAGAUUUUUGUGUGUUACAUAAAGAAUUGUGUGUUGUGUUUUGUAAAAAGUGUUUUAUGAAAUUGAAAAAUGAGUCAAAGGCUGAGAAUUAGUGUGUGGUUUUGCAGAUUUGGUGUGUGGUUCUGCUGUUUGAGUGUCAGGUUUCAAAAAUCGUGUGACGAAAAGAUUUUGUGUGUAAGCAGUUGGAAAAAAACUGUAAUUCUUGAGUAUUGUAUUUAAGAGUUCUCUUUCGAAAGGGAACUCAACGCUGCGUCAAGACGCUAGGGGAACGCCUCCACGUGAACCGGUGUCUAAAACACAUCUCCAAUCUCGGAAAUAUUGGCCCUGCGUUCCAUUCGGAAGGGCUCAUCCUUAUGCCCUAAUCCCUUCAGAGGGUUUUACCCUCCGGACUGAGAGCUUCGAAGGGAUGAAGGGUGUAGGGGUCAAAAAAACUCUUUUGUAACACUCACACUUCUGCAUCAUCUUAAUGAGACAAUCAAGGAGGAGUAGAUUGUGCAAGCUGUGCCCUUUGUUUAACGUUAGUUUAUUUAUUUAUUUAUGGUUUAUUGCACCAUAUUGUAUAUGUAUUUUAAACAUUUGAAUGAACUGAUGA